rnacentral:tRNA from 1 species
GUAGGCAGAAAAGAUUGCGAAUUGCUAAUAUGCCGACUACACUCGUAGAAGCUUAAGUGCCGAUAUGUCUGGACGUGGGUUCGACUCCCACCGUCUCCACCA